rnacentral:rRNA from 1 species
UCCUGGCUCAGGAUGAACGCUGGCGGCGUGCCUAAUACAUGCAAGUCGAGCGAACAGACGAGGAGCUUACUCCUCUGACGUUAGCGGCGGACGGGUGAGUAACACGUGGAUAACCUACCUAUAAGACUGGGAUAACUUCGGGAAACCGGAGCUAAUACCGGAUAACAUGUUGAACCGCAUGGUUCAACAGUGAAAGACGGUCUUGCUGUCACUUAUAGAUGGAUCCGCGUCGCAUUAGCUAGUUGGUAAGGUAACGGCUUACCAAGGCAACGAUGCGUAGCCGACCUGAGAGGGUGAUCGGCCACACUGGAACUGAGACACGGUCCAGACUCCUACGGGAGGCAGCAGUAGGGAAUCUUCCGCAAUGGGCGAAAGCCUGACGGAGCAACGCCGCGUGAGUGAAGAAGGUCUUCGGAUCGUAAAACUCUGUUAUUAGGGAAGAACAAAUGUGUAAGUAACUAUGCACGUCUUGACGGUACCUAAUCAGAAAGCCACGGCUAACUACGUG